rnacentral:piRNA from 1 species
AUUCCUUGGGCAAGUGUGCUCUG